rnacentral:lncRNA from 1 species
UUUGUGGAAGCUUCGUUCUUUUGCUCUUUGCAAGAAAUCUUGCUACUGCUCACUCUUUGGGUCCAUGCUGCCUUUAUGAGCUGUAACACUCACCGUGGAGGUCUGCACCUUCACUCCUGAGCCAGCGGGACCACGAACCCACCAGAAGGAAGAAACUCCCAACAUCAAAACGAACAAACUCUGGACAGGCCACCUUUAAGAACCGUAACACUCAGGCGAGGUUUUGCAGUCUCAUUCUUGGAGUCAGUGAAACCAAGAACCCACCAAUUCCGGACACGAGUGCAGAGUUGAUGUGAGAAGAAGCUAAUAUGGCACCAGGAUUACAAAGCUUAACAAGUCAUGAUUUAGAUUCAGAAGUUACAAAGAGUGGAAAAGGUCAUAUUCUUUCUUAUGAGGAGACAAGAACUCAGGUUGCUGCAGAUCCAUAUGGAGGAUAUGCCUCUGGUUACAUAUUUUGGUGCCAUGUGAGUCGGAUACGUUCUGUUGCUAACAAUACAGUACGUAACCUUUUGAGAAUGGCUUCCUUCACUCAACGUGAUGCUUUUGAGAUUCAUCCAAGUUGUUAUGGGCAUCAGUUGCCAGCUCUUUUUAAUGGAAAGUAAAUCUACUUGCAAA